rnacentral:rRNA from 1 species
GGCGAACGCUGGCGGCGUGCUUAACACAUGCAAGUCGAACGGAAAGGCCCUGCUUUUGUGGGGUGCUCGAGUGGCGAACGGGUGAGUAACACGUGAGUAACCUGCCCUUGACUUUGGGAUAACUUCAGGAAACUGGGGCUAAUACCCGAUAGGAGCUCCUGCUGCAUGGUGGGGGUUGGAAAGUUUCGGCGGUUGGGGAUGGACUCGCGGCUUAUCAGCUUGUUGGUGGGGUAGUGGCUUACCAAGGCUUUGACGGGUAGCCGGCCUGAGAGGGUGACCGGCCACAUUGGGACUGAGAUACGGCCCAGACUCCUACGGGAGGCAGCAGUGGGGAAUAUUGCACAAUGGGCGGAAGCCUGAUGCAGCAACGCCGCGUGCGGGAUGACGGCCUUCGGGUUGUAAACCGCUUUCGCCUGUGACGAAGCGUGAGUGACGGUAAUGGGUAAAGAAGCACCGGCUAACUACGUG